rnacentral:rRNA from 1 species
UACGUAGGGUGCAAGCGUUAUCCGGAAUUAUUGGGCGUAAAGAGCUCGUAGGCGGUUUGUCGCGUCUGCUGUGAAAACCCGAGGCUCAACCUCGGGCCUGCAGCGGGUACGGGCAGACUAGAGUGCGGUAGGGGAGAUUGGAAUUCCUGGUGUAGCGGUGGAAUGCGCAGAUAUCAGGAGGAACACCGAUGGCGAAGGCAGAUCUCUGGGCCGUAACUGACGCUGAGGAGCGAAAGCGUGGGGAGCGAACAGG